CGCAAUGGGCGAAAGCCUGACGGAGCAACGCCGCGUGAGGGAGGAAGGUCUUUGGAUUGUAAACCUCUUUUCUCAAGGAAGAAGUUCUGACGGUACUUGAGGAAUCAGCCUCGGCUAACUCCGUGCCAGCAGCCGCGGUAAUACGGGGGAGGCAAGCGUUAUCCGGAAUGAUUGGGCGUAAAGAGUCCGUAGGUGGCUCAUCAAGUCUGCUGUUAAAGAGCGAGGCUUAACUUCGUAAAAGCAGUGGAAACUGAAGAGCUAGAGUAUAGUAGGGGCAGAGGGAAUUCCUGGUGUAGCGGUGAAAUGCGUAGAGAUCAGGAAGAACACCGGUGGCGAAAGCGCUCUGCUGGGCUAAACCUGUCUCUGAGGGACGAAAGCUA
rnacentral:rRNA from 1 species